UUCCUGAUUUUCCCAUCGUUCGGGGCAUUCUGGGGCUGUUUUGGCUAUUGGUUGCUUGUUUGGUCAGGUACCGAACGGGUGGCUUCUAGUCUGGUGGCUUCGGGGAUGUUGACCGUAAAGGUGGAUGAGUGGUGUUUGGUUUGUUACGUGUGGUUGGCUGCGGCGUUUGCAACAACUUCCAUGCUUUCAGACCUCUUCAGUUGUGCGGCAAGGCUUGUAUCGCCUUGAGCGUAUUGUGGGUUUUCUGUGUUGGCUACCUAAUCAAUGGUAUCGGUUGGAUUGAUCAAUGUUUCAUUUCGUCUACCGUCGCAUUCGCGGCGUGAGAUGAACCUUGAUGCGGUCUCUUUGAUCCACCUCGUCGAAGCGCAUGCUUUGGCGUUGUGGCACAUUGAGCAUUGCUUGGUCUCUUGUAUACGGAACAUAUAGUGGGCAUGGAUCUAACGAUUCUCGUUUGCCCUCAUAUUAGCGUAACGCUUCUCUUACACGACUUGCACCACGUUUUAG
rnacentral:misc_RNA from 2 species